UACGAAGGGGGCUAGCGUUGUUUGGAAUUACUGGGCGUAAAGCGCGCGCAGGCGGCUAUCCAAGUCAGUGGUGAAAGCCCGGAGCUCAACUCCGGAACUGCCAUUGAAACUGUUUAGCUUGAGGACGAGAGAGGUGAGUGGAAUUCCCAGUGUAGAGGUGAAAUUCGUAGAUAUUGGGAAGAACACCGGUGGCGAAGGCGGCUCACUGGCUCGUAUCUGACGCUCAGGCGCGACAGCGUGGGGAUCAAACAGG
rnacentral:rRNA from 1 species